UUUGGGCAGAAUUUCUCUCAAGUGAGAGAGAGAAAUAAGAGAGAGAGAGAGAGAACUAGAGAAAGAGGGGUGGCCGGUGGCGGUAUUUGGCGGCGAUUCGCGGUGGCCGGUGGUGGCCGGAGGUGGUCGGACUUGUGAGAUUCAACCUGGAACCAAUUAUCGAUGCUACGAACGCAAUGAAUGAGAGGAUAGGAAUCACAUUAGCAUGGACUCAAACGCGGAAGGGUACGGGUCAAGAAGAUGCAAGGAAACAAACACGAACACAGACGCUUGAGGUAAGUGACUACCGAACUCACUUAUUAAUUUAUUUAAAUGAAGUUAGAUAUGCUUAUUAUUGGGGAAUCAUAAAAGGAUGAGAAUGUAGUAGUCGUAUGAAAGUAAGAAUGACGGAAUUUGAUCAUAUGUAGUUAAUUAUGUUUGAAAUCAUAUAGAAUAAGCAAACGGGUCACAAAUACGAAAGUGAUUAACCAAGUUGUGAAAAUUGGAUGUUGGCAAAUGAGAAUUAGAAUAGGAAUGAUUUGGGGACUUAGGAAAAUGUUUAUUCAUGUUUUCUCGUUUCUCUUUGUUUCCAAGGCCCGGUUAAACUUCCUAAAGGUACCCCAAGCCGACGAUAGAGUUUUGCGGGGUAGAAGUAAGGACGGAACCCGUACGGGAGCUUGCGCGAAUAUGUAGCAUGUAUGUUGGUGUGUGUAAAUGUGGAUUUCAUUAUGUGUAUGAGUGAUUCUCGUAGGAAGGAUUAUACUUGGAUAUAACACACGUGUGAAUGGACGUAACUAGUACAUAAGCAUGUUUAUAUACGGAAAAUGGUAUGCCUAACAAAGUAUGGUGCUUGAAAGAAAUUAAAUGGAUGUGAUUGUAUGUGUGUAUAUAAAUAAGAAUUCAUAGUAAGUGUAUGUAGUACGAAUUUAUAGGUGUAUACGUGUGUAUGGGAAACGUAAGUAUGUACUCGGAUAUAUGUAUGUGUACGUAUGUGAUGUAAUCUAAUGAAUGUAGAUUAAUAGAAUGUGUUUAUGUGAAGUUAUGGGUUGCUAUAUGUUUAAAGGUACACGUUGCUAAUCAUGUUAUCGUUGAGAAUGAAAUGAAAAGUGCAGGUAUGAUAACGUUGGGUCCAAGUGAAUUGAUGUCAGGAACUAGUGGAUGAGUUUGGAAGGAUGAUCGAACAAGAUAUCUUGCGUCGUUAGAAUGCAAUAUGGUCAUUUAGCUAUGUGUUUAUUAUAUAAGUAUAAUGUCACCAUUUACUAAUGUGUUGGUUGUUUAUGGUGACUGUAGGUUACACUGAUCAUUACCAUUUAUCACGAAGGACAAGGGGGCAAAGAUCGAGUUAUAGAACAUGGAUUGUACGGAAGGAUGGUCACUUAGUUUGUAUUCGCAUGUUAUAUUUGGUACAUUAAUUAAAGAUGAAUGAUGUAAUUCUUUUAAAGGAAUCGUUUUAAAUGGUUUUCAAGUAUGUUAGAUUAUUUAAAAAGAAAGAAAUUUUGAAGUUCAUUUUC